rnacentral:misc_RNA from 1 species
AUUGAUAAAUAUCAGGUGCCAUCACUUCGCAUCAGAACAAGGAAAAUUAACUUGUACAGUCAUGGACAUCAUGCUUAACCAACAGAAAGCGAUACAUGGACCACAAAAGACGAGAGUAAAAGGCCAAAUGUGUAGUGGUGGCGUCCAUCCAGCAAAGAGAACUGGUGAUUAAAGCUCCAACGCAUCUUCUCCGGUUCGGCUACAAGGAAUUUACAGAGCUUAGAAGCAAGGCUUUUAUUCUCCACUUGAACCAACCGAAAA